rnacentral:rRNA from 1 species
GACGAACGCUGGCGGCGUGCCUAAUACAUGCAAGUCGAACGAGGUCUCCCUCGGUGGCAACACCUUGGGGGUACCUAGUGGCGAACGGGUGAGUAACACGUGAGGAACCUGCCCCGAAGACCGGGAUAACCAGAGGAAACCCUGGCUAAUACCGGAUGCCCCCACCGGAUCGCAUGGUCUGGUGAGGAAAUGGAUUCCGCUUCGGGAGGGCCUCGCGGCCUAUCAGCUUGUUGGUGGGGUAACGGCCCACCAAGGCGACGACGGGUAGCUGGUCUGAGAGGAUGGCCAGCCACAUUGGGACUGAGACACGGCCCAGACUCCUACGGGAGGCAGCAGUGGGGAAUAUUGCGCAAUGGGCGAAAGCCUGACGCAGCGACGCCGCGUGUGGGAUGACGGCCUUCGGGUUGUAAACCACUGUCGGGAGGGACGAAUGCCCCGCAAGGGGAGUGACGGUACCUCCAAAGGAAGCACCGGCUAACUCCGUGCCAG